UACGUAGGGUGCAAGCGUUAAUCGGAAUUACUGGGCGUAAAGCGUGCGCAGGCGGUUUCGUAAGUCUGUCGUGAAAGCCCCGGGCUCAACCUGGGAAUUGCGAUGGAGACUGCGAGGCUAGAGUGUGUCAGAGGGGGGUAAGAAUUCCACGUGUAGCAGUGAAAUGCGGUAAGAUAUCGGGAGAAACACCAGUCGGCGAAGGCGGCUUCCUGGCCUGUUCU
rnacentral:rRNA from 1 species